UGGGGAAUAUUGCACAAUGGGCGCAAGCCUGAUGCAGCCAUGCCGCGUGUGUGAAGAAGGCCUUCGGGUUGUAAAGCACUUUCAGCGAGGAGGAAGGGUUCAGUGUUAAUAGCACUGUUCAUUGACGUUACUCGCAGAAGAAGCACCGGCUAACUCCGUGCCAGCAGCCGCGGUAAUACGGAGGGUGCAAGCGUUAAUCGGAAUUACUGGGCGUAAAGCGCACGCAGGCGGUUUGUUAAGUCAGAUGUGAAAUCCCCGCGCUUAACGUGGGAACUGCA
rnacentral:rRNA from 1 species